rnacentral:rRNA from 1 species
CCCUUAGAUGUUCUGGGCCGCACGCGCGCUACACUGUUCGACGCAGCGAGUCUUAACCUUGACCGAAAGGUUUGGGUAAUCUUCAGCAAAGUCGAACGUGAUGGGGAUCGAUCAUUGCAAUUAUUGAUCGUGAACGAGGAAUUCCUAGUAAGUGCAAGUCAUCAGCUUGCGCUGAUUACGUCCCUGCCCUUUGUACACACCGCCCGUCGCUCCUACCGAUUGAGUGCUCAGGUGAAUAAUUCGGACUGCAGCAAUGUUUGGAUCCCGAACGUUGCAGCGGAAAGUUUAGUGAACCUUAUCACUUAGAGGAAGGAGAAGUCGUAACA